rnacentral:rRNA from 1 species
UAGGGAAUCUUCCGCAAUGGGCGAAAGCCUGACGGAGCAACGCCGCGUGAGUGAUGAAGGUCUUCGGAUCGUAAAACUCUGUUAUUAGGGAAGAACAAAUGUGUAAGUAACUAUGCACGUCUUGACGGUACCUAAUCAGAAAGCCACGGCUAACUACGUGCCAGCAGCCGCGGUAAUACGUAGGUGGCAAGCGUUAUCCGGAAUUAUUGGGCGUAAAGCGCGCGUAGGCGGUUUUUUAAGUCUGAUGUGAAAGCCCACGGCUCAACCGUGGAGGGUCAUUGGAAACUGAAAACUUGAGUGCAGAAGAGGAAAGUGGAAUUCCAUGUGUAGCGGUGAAAUGCGCAGAGAUAUGGAGGAACACCAGUGGCGAAGGCGACUUUCUGGUCUGUAACUGACGCUGAUGUGCGAAAGCGUGGGGAUCAAACAGG